UGGGCCAAAAACGAAGUUUCUAGCUCAAUUUUGAAGUGAGUUAUGCACCUUCAAAGUUGAGGGUGAGAGAGUGAGAGACGGCAGAGAAAACGACUGUCUGCUUCUCUGCUGUCUCUCAAUCUCUCCCUUGGUUGCAUAACUCGCUUCAAAACUGAGCUAGAAACUUCGUUUUUUGACCG
rnacentral:sRNA from 13 species